CGCACAGCGGCAGUCGAGACGAAUAAAUUCGAUUGUCAGUCCUCCUGAUUAGCCGUCCUGAAAAGUUGCUUCGUCGAAACCCGGAGCUGACAAGAUCACUGUGUACCUCGUCAGAAUACCUUCGGGAACCACCUUCUUGCACAAACUGAGAAGGAUGUGGAGGUUUUUGACGAGGGUUACCUCGGUGGAAGCUAACAACCUUCUCCAGUUGGACGGUCGACCACCGAAAGCCCUGAUGCCCUGCACUUCAGUGAAGCCCAUUAGACAAAACUUUGGGACCAUCGACUGUCCGAGCACCCCAGGAGGUAUCCCAUCCACCAGAGCCAGUGAGUUCAGAUCAGUCUGGUUCUCUGAGUCAGAAGGGUACCAGCCUGAUGUCCUCAAUUACCAACCACUCUCCAACUUUUCAUUACAUCUGCUACAGCUACUGUUGUUGUCAUUAUCUGCUAAGAAUUUUUUUGUGCUCUAUCAUGCUGGGCACAUAUGUGCGAAACACCGAUUUAACUAACUAAAAACACUUGCACUGCAAACACUCCGAACAAAGAGAGCGCAGCAGUGACUGGACUUUGCAGUCUCCCUCUUCAAGUCCCCCUUCUGAGACUGGCUGCCUGUCGAGAACAAGUGACAUGCAGAACCUCCCACCCACACAGCAACCACCUCCUUUAUAUUCCACACACCAGAAUUCUGUAUUUUAGUUUUUGAUUGCCAUGAGUGUACAAAAAAUCUGUGAAAAAUAUUAGUGCCACAACUGUACCAAAAGAAUAUCAAUGUUUAUGUAUUAAAAUCUUUAAUAUUGCCAGGUUGGUUUUCACAGCUGUUUCACAAGGAGUUAAUUGUAAGGUAUCCCUUGAUGGUGUUUAUUAGUUCCACAUUACUUAUUGUUGUGUCCUAGGAUCUACAAUAGACACAUAUAUAUUCAACCACAAGGGUGUGCUAGUGAGCUAU